GACGAACGCUGGCGGCGUGCUUAACACAUGCAAGUCGAACGGAAAGGCCCUGCUUUUGUGGGGUGCUCGAGUGGCGAACGGGUGAGUAACAUGUGAGUAACCUGCCCUUGACUUUGGGAUAACUUCAGGAAACUGGGGCUAAUACCGGAUAGGAGCUCCUGCUGCAUGGUGGGGGUUGGAAAGUUUCGGCGGUUGGGGAUGGACUCGCGGCUUAUCAGCUUGUUGGUGGGGUAGUGGCUUACCAAGGCUUUGACGGGUAGCCGGCCUGAGAGGGUGACCGGCCACAUUGGGACUGAGAUACGGCCCAGACUCCUACGGGAGGCAGCAGUGGGGAAUAUUGCACAAUGGGCGGAAGCCUGAUGCAGCAACGCCGCGUGCGGGAUGACGGCCUUCGGGUUGUAAACCGCUUUCGCCUGUGACGAAGCGUGAGUGACGGUAAUGGGUAAAGAAGCACCGGCUAACUACGUGC
rnacentral:rRNA from 1 species